rnacentral:rRNA from 1 species
CCUACGGGAGGCAGCAGUGGGGAAUAUUGGACAAUGGGGGAAACCCUGAUCCAGCGACGCCGCGUGAGUGAAGAAGUAUCUCGGUAUGUAAAGCUCUAUCAGCAGGGAAGAAAAUGACGACACUUGACUACGAAGCACCGGCUAACUACGUGCCAGCAGCCGCGGUAAUAAGUGGGGGGCAAGAGGUAUCCGGAUUUACUGGGGGUAGAGGGAGCGCAGGCGGCGGGGGAAGUCUGCUGGGAAAGAACGGGGCUCAACCCCGGGACUGCAUUGGAAACUGUCGUGCUGGAGUGUCGGAGGGGCAAGUGGAAUGCCUAGUGUAGCGGUGAAAUGCGUAGAUAUUAGGAGGAACACCAGUGGCGAAGGCGGCUUACUGGACGGCAACUGACGCUGAGGCUCGAAAGCGUGGGGAGCAAACAGGAUUAGAUACCCUAGUAGUC